rnacentral:rRNA from 1 species
CGGACGGGUGAGUAACGCGUAAGAACUUGCCCUUUAGACUGGGAUAACAGAGGGAAACUUCUGAUAAUACUGGAUAAGUUAGUAUAUCGCAUGAUAUGCAAAUGAAAGCUACGGCACUAAAGGAGAGCUUUGCGUCCUAUUAGCUAGUUGGUAAGGUAAGAGCUUACCAAGGCGAUGAUAGGUAGCCGGCCUGAGAGGGUGGACGGCCACAAGGGGACUGAGAUACGGCCCUUACUCCUACGGGAGGCAGCAGGC